rnacentral:lncRNA from 1 species
AUUAUAAGUGAUACCUAUAUGUAUAUAUAUAUAUAUAUAGAGAGAGAGAGAGAGAGAGAAAAUGAAUCAAAUUUCACGCACUUUCGAUAUUAUUCUUUUAUCCAUCUAGUGAACAGAAGAUGAAUGGUUGAAAAUGAAUAUUCUUUAAAAAAUGAUGAUAGGAGUCUUGUAAUCAAGAUCAAAAGUAUAGAUCUUGUUUUAAAUAGUUUAAAGAAUUUUCUAACAAAAAUUCAAUUGAUUUGGAUAUCUUUACACCGUUAAACAAGAAAACGUCUCUUAUCUACCAUUAAAAUUACAAAUUUUGAAACCCUUUGAUCAUUAGGCAAAUAAUGUCAAAAAGAUUUGAAAUUUGAUUUCUAAGCACUUUAAGUGGUAUAGAUCAUGUUCAACGGAGCCGAUCGUCAAUUUGGAAGCUCNUAGCCGGACCCUAUAUAUAUAUAUAUACAUAUAUAUAUAUACGUCAACUUUCUCGCGAUACCAAUAGAGUCCGGCUAUGGUGCUUGUAAAAGUACCAAGCACUUGGUGCUUGUAAAUUUUUUGUCGUUAGAUCUAUGCCUUUGAUCAUUUUUACUCGUUAGAUUAUACUAUUCAACCAACCACCCACUCAACCCUAGGGAGCCCAUAUCAUCCUAACCGCACAUCCUUCAAUUCAAGGGCCGAAAACUUACAAAUACGAAUGACUUGGUACUUUUAAAAGCAUAGGAGCUCAAUUAUAUAUAUAUAUAUAUAUAUAUUACAAGAUUACAACUGUAAAA